rnacentral:piRNA from 1 species
GAACAGAGGUGCCUUCUGGAACAUGUUUCU